rnacentral:tRNA from 1 species
GGGUGUAUAGCUCAGUUGGUAGAGCAUUGGGCUUUUAAUCUAAUGGUCGCAGGUUCAAGUCCUGCUACACCCA